GACGUAGGGGGCAAGCGUUGUCCGGAUUUAUUGGGCGUAAAGAGCGUGUAGGCGGCUUGUUAAGUCUUGCGUGAAAUCUCGGGGCUCAACCCCGAGCGGUCGUGAGAAACUGGCAGGCUAGAGUGCGGGAGAGGAGAGUGGAAUUCCUGGUGUAGCGGUGAAAUGCGCAGAUAUCAGGAAGAACACCCGUGGCGAAGGCGGCUCUCUGGAACGCAACUGACGCUGAGACGCGAAAGCGUGGGGAGCAAACAGG
rnacentral:rRNA from 1 species